CCUGGGACACACAGAUAGAGUUGGUCUGUGAGAGCAAGAAGAUCAGCAAAGGGUUUCUCCUGGAGUCCCAUAAACAUCCCAGGCACUCACAAAAUCCUGCAAAUUUGGGACUUUCAACAAGACCAGUACCUUCCUGGUUUCCAGGCCAAGGCAAAUGAUGUAAUACAUACCAGGAGUCUUCAAAAGAGGAUGAGGGGCUUUCUCAGCUAAACACAACCCCCUGCCUGCACGUCUGAGCUAAGGGUAGAUGGAUUACAGGAAGUAAAUAUUACAGUACAUGAACUAUCUGUCCUUACUCAAGAUGGCUACAGACAGAAAU